UACGGGGGGGGGCAAGCGUUGUUCGGAAUUACUGGGCGUAAAGGGCUCGUAGGCGGCCAACUAAGUCAGACGUGAAAUCCCCAGGCUUAACCUGGGAACUGCGUCCGAUACUGGUAGGCUUGAAUCCGGGAGAGGGAUGUGGAAUUCCAGGUGUAGCGGUGAAAUGCGUAGAUAUCGGGAGGAACACCAGUGGCGAAGGCGACUACCUGGCCUGUUCUUGACGCUGAGGCGCGAAAGCUAGGGGAGCAAACGGG
rnacentral:rRNA from 1 species